AUGAUUCUGGGACGCGGCCGAGGAGAGGGCCGUCCUCUCGUCAUUGACUUGGAGGCUGCCCGCAAGGCCGUCAACGGAUUCCUAGUGGUGGGGCGCCUUCUCUCCCCUUUCCAGGUCAAUCCGAGGGUCAUUGUCGACGACCUCCGGAACACGGUCUGGAAGAACCAAGGGGCGCUCACCAUCCAAGAGGUGGACAACGCAGACAGGAGGUUUAUCCUCAAUCUCGCUGCUGACAGUGAUCGACGAUUUGUGCUAAAGGCGCAACCUUGGCAUUUCAAGCAUGACAGUCUCAUCUUCGCCGAGUUCGACGACAAGGGGGACCCAGCAGAGGUCGACCUUGGUGUCAUGGCCAUAUGGGUCCAGGUACGUGAUCUUCCAUUCGAGCUUAAGACUGAAAGCAUAAGGAGGUCUCUUGAGGAUCAACUAGGUGAGGUGUUGGAGGUUGCUCACCAAAACCAUGUAAUUGUUGAUAAAUACGUGCGGGUGCGUGUCAAGAUAUUACUGCAUGAACCUCUAAAGUGUUCUGUAGAGUUUACACCUCUAGGUAGUUCUAAGGUUUUUAAGUAUGAUGUAAAGUAUGAAAAGCUUCCCCUGUACUGCGAGUGUUGUGGCAUUGUUGGCCACACUUCUGAGAGGUUUUGUAAAAUCCCUCGUGAUAAGAGGGUUGUUUGUUAUCCUAGAAAUCUGAGUGUAGAACCCUACCGGAAGAGCCAAGGCGCUAGUAAGAGGGGUCUCCUCUUCGGGAACUAUCUUCGCGAUGGCAAGAAUUCUUCUUCGGGCACCGUCAACAACACCGCCAAGCCCAUGGACGUCGUCAAGGUGGCCACUGCCGUGAGAGGACUCACGGUCACGGACAAAGGGGCCUCCUCAUCCGUCAAGUUGACACUCGGCCAGGAGGGUCGGGAUCGGGGGCUCAUGGCGCCUGUUCUGGCUGACGUAGCACUUGGCUGGGAGGACCAGGCAGGCGCGCCGACUGUUUCUGGCGAGCGAGUAGGGCGGGGCAAAGUGCCUCUGGUGGACCCGCACCAUGGAGGUCCGCACGACCAGGAGGGUCAAGUAAGCCACACUACUACUACUGGUCUGGACCAAUUUCUCCUGGGGGGUCUAAAGCCCAAAUCCUCUCAAGCGCUGGGCAUGCCCAGCCUAGUCCCAAAUCAUGGGGCUGAUGCUGAUGGAUUUCUUUUCUAG
rnacentral:rRNA from 1 species